CCUACGGGAGGCAGCAGUGGGGAAUAUUGCACAAUGGGGGAAACCCUGAUGCAGCGACGCCGCGUGAGUGAAGAAGGAUCUCGGUACGGAAAGCUCUAUCAGCAGGGAAGAAAAUGACGGUACCUAACUAAGAAGCCCCGGCUAACUACGUUCCAGCAGCCGCAGUAAUACGUAGGGGGCAAGCGUUAUCCGGAUUUACGGGGUGUAAAGGGAGCGUAGGCGGGAGCACAAGUCUGGAGUGAAAUGCCGGGGCUUAACCCCGGAACUGCAGUGGAAACUGUGAGGCUUGAGUGCAGGAGGGGUAAGCGGAAUGCUUGGUGUAGCGGUGAAAUGCGUAGAUAUUAGGAGGAACACCGGUUGCGAAGGCGGCUUACUGGACUGUAACUGACGUUGAGGCUCGAAAGCGUGGGGAGCAAACAGGAUUAGAUACCCGUGUAGUC
rnacentral:rRNA from 1 species